rnacentral:rRNA from 1 species
UGCCCCUACGGGAGGCAGCAGUGGGGAAUAUUGCACAAUGGGGGAAACCCUGAUGCAGCGACGCCGCGUGAGUGAAGAAGUAUUUCGGUAUGUAAAGCUCUAUCAGCAGGAACGAGACAAGACGGUACCUGACUAAGAAGCCCCGGCUAACUACGUGCCAGCAGCCGCGGUAAUACGUAGGGGGCAAGCGUUAUCCGGAUUUACUGGGUGUAAAGGGGGCGCAGACGGCGAUGCAAGCCAGGAGUGAAAGCCCGGGGCCCAACCCCGGGACUGCUCUUGGAACUGCGUGGCUGGAGGGCAGGAGG